rnacentral:rRNA from 1 species
UGGCUCAGGAUGAACGCUAGCUACAGGCUUAACACAUGCAAGUCGAGGGGAAACGACAUCGAAAGCUUGCUUUUGAUGGGCGUCGACCGGCGCACGGGUGAGUAACGCGUAUCCAACCUGCCCACCACUUGGGGAUAACCUUGCGAAAGUAAGACUAAUACCCAAUGAUAUCUCUAGAAGACAUCUGAAAGAGAUUAAAGAUUUAUCGGUGAUGGAUGGGGAUGCGUCUGAUUAGCUUGUUGGCGGGGUAACGGCCCACCAAGGCGACGAUCAGUAGGGGUUCUGAGAGGAAGGUCCCCCACAUUGGAACUGAGACACGGUCCAAACUCCUACGGGAGGCAGCAGUGAGGAAUAUUGGUCAAUGGACGAGAGUCUGAACCAGCCAAGUAGCGUGCAGGAUGACGGCCCUAUGGGUUGUAAACUGCUUUUAUAAGGGAAUAAAGUGAGUCUCGUGAGACUUUUUGCAUGUACCUUAUGAAUAAGGACCGGCUAAUUCCGUGCCAGCAGCCGCGGUAAUACGGAAGGUCCGGGCGUUAUCCGGAUUUAUUGGGUUUAAAGGGAGCGUAGGCCGGAGAUUAAGCGUGUUGUGAAAUGUAGACGCUCAACGUCUGCACUGCAGCGCGAACUGGUUUCCUUGAGUACGCACAAAGUGGGCGGAAUUCGUGGUGUAGCGGUGAAAUGCUUAGAUAUCACGAAGAACUCCGAUUGCGAAGGCAGCUCACUGGAGCGCAACUGACGCUGAAGCUCGAAAGUGCGGGUAUCGAACAGGAUUAGAUACCCUGGUAGUCCGCACGGUAAACGAUGGAUGCCCGCUGUUGGUCUGAAUAGGUCAGCGGCCAAGCGAAAGCAUUAAGCAUCCCACCUGGGGAGUACGCCGGCAAC